CUUGCCUGUGGAUGGACAGAAUGAGAGAGAGAGAGAAGGAAUUAGGAUCAUCCCCAUUUUCACCACAUUAACAUUUGCACUGAAAACAGUUGCUACUUGCAUACUUCAGAUAAAGUGUUAAUUUAAUUCUAGAUAUUUAUUUCAUCUGAUUGGUCAGAAGGUGUUCAUUCUACAAUUCUUUAGCUUCACAUUCUGAAAGAGAGAGAAGAGGCAGGCUGGUGAAGCGAAAGCUGUUCAUAGCAGAUAUAACAUACACUCAGACAGAUAAUCAGCAUCUCAGGAGAUACAUGGGGCACAGCAGGUGGUAGGAUUCAGGAACGAGUGCAACUUUAUAACAUUGAGGAGGCUAGCAAAAGACCCACCUGGUUUCUUUAUAGCACUGAGCUCACAGGAACAUCUGUAACGAGUCCUCGGCUUUAUUACCUAUGGUCUCUGUAGCAGAGUAACAUCACAACACUGCAGCGUUUGAUCCUCGCUGUGGGUGGAAUCAACACAAGCUGAGGAUGAUGGGAAAAGGAAGUGCGAGGAAACGAAGCGGAGGCUCAGCAGUGGAGUGGAAAGGAUGAGGCCUAGAUUUUGUUUAGGGCAAGCUGAAAAUAGGGGGAAUGUCUCCUGGCGGGAUAACAUUUUUGAGUAUGUGAAAAGAAAACUUUAUUACUAUUCCCUUAAUUCUGCUGUUUUAUUACAUUUUUUAGCUGAUUCAUCAGAUACUGGACUAUAAUAUUUACCUAGUUUAUGCAAUUCUAAGA